rnacentral:sRNA from 1 species
GCUGGGUGUGGUGGUGCACGCCUGUAAUCCCAGCGGCUCAGGAGGCUGAGGCAGUUGGAUCAUGAGUUCGAGGGCAGCCUCAGCAACUUAGGCCCCAAGCAUCUCAGUGAGACCCUGUCUCUU